GACGAACUGUCCUAACGUUGUUCGGAAUCACUGGGCUUAAAGGGCGCGUAGGCGGUCCGCCAAGUCAGGGGUGAAAUCCUGCAGCUUAACUGUAGAAGUGCCUUUGAUACUGUCGGUCUUGAGGGAAAUAGGGGUGUGCGGAACUUCCAGUGGAGCGGUGAAAUGCGUUGAUAUUGGAAGGAACGCCGGAGGCGAAAGCGGCGCACUGGAUUUUUUCUGACGCUGAGGCGCGAAAGCUAGGGGAGCAAACGGG
rnacentral:rRNA from 1 species